rnacentral:tRNA from 1 species
GCCUGUAUAGCUCAGUCCGGUUAGAGCAUCAGUUUUGUAAACUGGGGGUCGCAGGUUCAAAUCCUGCUACAGGCU